rnacentral:rRNA from 1 species
CCGCCUGGCCGCGGGAUUUCCGUAGGUGANACCUGCGGAAGGAUCAUUCACACGAAUCCAAAUCAACAACCCAACUUGACUGGGGUCUGUGCUACUGUGUCCCUCGGGACCUAGUGCAGAUCCUAGGCACCUUCCGUUCCUCAGCGCGGAAGCGUGGGAUUGCCUCAUGCUUCCUUGGGGAGCCCUGGCUGGUGCUCAGCAGGGUAGGAUUGUGCCGUGUUGUCGACACCAUUCAAAUUUGAUCAACGCAUAGAAAGCAUUAAACUUUCAGCGAUGGAUGCCUCGGCUUGAGCACUGAUGAAGGACGCAGCGAAAUGCGAUACGCAUUGUGAAUUGCAGAAUUCCGUGAGUCAAUAGGUAUCUGAACGCAUUCUGCGCUCUCGGGAUUCUCCCGUGAGUACAUCUGCUUCAGUGUUUCCGAUCCCUCCUGCCAGCUGCAAUGCGCGGCUGAGCGUUUCUGUGUGCUAACGGGACUACCCGCUAGCGCAUUAAAAGCUUCAUGAACCGAGCCUUGCUUUCAGGUUGGUCACCUCGUGUGUCUAUGUUUGAUAGCAGGCGCUCAGUUGUCAUGUGCCGAUCAUCGGAACUGAACCUGAAGUCAGGUGGAGCUACCCGCUGAACUUAAGCAUAUCAAU